rnacentral:rRNA from 1 species
GAUAAACGCUGGCGGCGUGCUUCAGGCAUGCAAGUCGAACGAGUGUCCACCUUCGGGUGGUCUACUAGUGGCGGACGGGUGAGUAACGCGUUAGCAACCUGCCCAGAAGUGGGGAAUAACUAACCGAAAGGUUAGCUAAUACCGCAUGUGAUAGCCUGUUCUUGGACUGGUUAUGAAAGGCUUCGGUCGCUUCUGGAGGGGCUUGCGUCAGAUUAGCUAGUUGGUGGGGUAAUGGCCACCAAGGCGACGAUCUGUAGCUGGUCUGAGAGGAUGGUCAGCCACACGGGGACUGAGAUACGGCCCCGACUCCUACGGGAGGCAGCAGCUAGGAAUCUUGGGAAUGGGCGAAAGCCUGACCCAGCAACGCCGCGUGGGCGAU